AGAAGAAGGAGGAGAAGCAGGAGGAGAAGAAGAAGGAGGAGAAGAAGGAGGGGAAGAUUCUUAGGCCUCUUGUGCUUUAUUCUCCAGCGUCCCCAGAAAACCCAAGUCAUGAAGCAACACUUCAACUGUCUCGCCACAAACCAGACUCAACAAACGCUUUGGCCCGAAGCUAGCCCACCUCUCAGAACACCCGGGCUCACCGAGGAAUUGGACUCUGACACAGUUCGGUGUACGUGGACCCCUCUUCCUACCAUAUCAACAUGAAGUUCAUUGUCAAGACAACACGUGCACACCUUCAUGGGCCUGACAUUUUGGGCCUUUGCUUAAUUUUCUCCUUUUUUUUUUUUUGCUCUGCAUGAGUAGACCUUCUUACUAAUACCCUGAAAAAAAAUGAUUUCAAAAUAUAGAAUUCCUCUUUGUGCUAUGCCAAGAGUAAUCCUUUGUAUGGGCCUUCUGCUACUUGUCUCAGAAUUAGCUUUCGAAACGUAGCGCCUUCCAGAGAACAAGCACACAAAUAAAGAUGAAUAGCAAAGACCUUGA